rnacentral:rRNA from 1 species
UACGUAGGGCGCGAGCGUUGUCCGGAAUUACUGGGCGUAAAGCGCUUGUAGGCGGUCCACCAAGUUUGGGGUGACAGUUGCCGACUUAAUCGGCAAAGUGCCUCAAAGACUGGCGGACUUGAGGGCCACAGAGGGACAUGGAACUCCAGGUGUAGUGGUGAAAUGCGUAGAUAUCUGGAAGAACACCAAAGGCGAAGGCAGUGUCCUGGGUGGUCGCUGACGCUGAGAGGCGAAAGCCAGGGGAGCGAACGGG